AUAUAAAACCUAAACCAGAAGCGAGAUGGACAGAAAUUAACAGAUAAAU
rnacentral:guide_RNA from 1 species